UACAGAGGUCUCAAGCGUUGUUCGGAUUCAUUGGGCGUAAAGGGUGCGUAGGCGGCGCGGUAAGUCGGGUGUGAAAUCUCGGGGCUUAACUCCGAAACUGCAUUCGAUACUGCCGUGCUUGAGGACUGGAGAGGAGACUGGAAUUUACGGUGUAGCGGUGAAAUGCGUAGAUAUCGUAAGGAAGACCAGUGGCGAAGGCGGCUCACUGGCCCGGUACUGACGCUGAGGUGCGAAAGCGUGGGGAGCAAACAGG
rnacentral:rRNA from 1 species